UUUCGAUCAGUUUCUCUUACAAAAUGUUCGGAAAGGAUAAUAUUUCAUCAUACUUGCUUGUGAUUAUUCUACAAAUAUGAAUUAAUAAAUAAUUUCUCUCCGGAUGUAUUUAUUAUGUACUCGGUGGUAGGCAGAAGUUCUUAUGGCUUUAAGAGAAGGAAAAGAAGCUGCAACGAAAAAGAAAUUGAUAAGGGAAUAAGAUCUUCAAGAUUUUCACGAGAUGUGCAGUGCUUCGAAUUAGAAUCAGUGUAGUACAACGUUUUCAGUGAUUCAGAGUGGAGAAGGCGUUCGUCUUUCAGAGUGGAGAAGGAUCAGCGUUUACUGCUAGAUCUACCUUCCUUCCCUGCUAGUGGUCUAGUCGCCAUUUUGGAGGAAGUGACAAGUGUGCACGGUGUUUCGUCGCUCCGCAUAAUUACAGAUUUCCAAGAAUUUACGAGCUACAGUACAGAGCAAUGAAUAUACCAGUUUUUUUUACAUCUCUUCGAUACGUAUAAACACAUUUUGGAUUGGCAAUCUUCGGCUACGUGUGAUGUCAUCUUCGUCGGAUCCCUGAUCGACUUUAACGAUUACUGUAUUUCACUCUUGUUUUGUACAUCGACGAGUGAACAUAGAAAUUCUUUCAGGAUACCUUUCCUACAAUCAUCAACGAAGACAUAAAGACUUUAUUGCAAUCGAGCGCGUAGCAUUGAAGUAAUCGAGUAUUCGUGUCGUCAAAAUAAAAAUAUCGCGAAGUAGAAGCAGUGUUUGUUCGUACGCGUUUCGCGAUUUAAACGAUAAGUGCUCUUGUAUGGACUGCGUGCAAUGCAGUCGUUAGAGUCAAUAUUUGUUCGCAAAGUAUUUUUAACAGUCGCACAGACUGUGUUUGUAAAAGACAGUAGAUUUUCGCGAAAUAAAUUUAGUAACCGUUCGUUGAUAAAUAACUACCGCGAAUUAGAGUCAGUGCAUCACUGAAGAGGAUUUCGACCAACGUCGAUGUCGACCUACCACAUUUUCAACCAACUACGAAUCAUCCACCCUCAAUUUCGACCUAAAUCGCGGACGAGUGUUUUGGAGCCAUCGCAGAACUUCUUAAGUAGUGAGUGAAAAAUUUUGAGUCCCUCCAGUGCUCAAUCAUGUCGAGGACGAAAGGUCCAAAUCGGCACGAGUUAUUGGUUGUAAUUUUUUAAAUAAAUUAUUGACGAGCAUGACAGUGAGUAAUUCCUUUUCUGGAUUUACUCGCCAGUGGUACAAUUUUAAUCGUUUAUGUGUUUCAUUGUUUGUAUUUAUUGUACAUGCUUCUUUUUAUUAGCUCAGGAUAGGGUCUUCUUGUUUCAUCGGUUCGAUUAAUUAAUAGUGCGAUUGUAAACACUCUUUUCUUCAUAUUUGCUCGUGAUGCCAGAGUUGUAAUCGGAUACCUAUAUACCCGAUUUCGUCAAAAAAGCGUGUGAUCAUCUACCUCAUGCAUUGUUCGUAACUUAGCUAUAUAAUCGCGAUUUACCUCGAUAUAUCGAUAUGGAUGUAGUAAAAAAUGAACAAGAAGACAAGCGCGACGGAUAGAUUUUGGAAAACAAGUGAUGAAUCAUGAUCUUGUUCUUUAAUUAGAAUAGUCACUUGUUAAAAGGAAUCGUCCGAGGUAUUUUGAUUAUUGUUGCAUGAAAAAUUAAUUAAAUAUUCAAUCUAUUUUGUUGACAAAAGAAAAGUCUCAGUAGAGUCAUUGUUUUUGAAAGAAAAAAGUCGAGUAGAAUCAUUGUUAAUAAAAAACAAAGAGACUUGUAGAGUCAUAGUCCGUAGGCCCUAGAAUAAGUUAAUCAUUUUUUAGAUCAGGAUUUUCAGCUUCUAAUAAACUAAUUCCCGUUUCUCCCCCCCAUACUUUCUGCGUUCUCAUCUAUGCGUGUGCCCAGGUGUUACUCGUAUGGGUGAGAAACUGUUAAUAUGGGUUUAGUUUUAAGUUUUCUUCCCAUAUUGGCGACUGUCAUGGCGUUAGUGAUUGCGCACGAUGUACUUUGCAUCUGUGUGUUCGUGCUAGGUGAUGCAUUGUACAUCGUUUCGCGAUUAUUUAUAAAUAAAUACGAAUAAAACAAUUAUACUAAUAGAUUAUUAUUUAAAAUACUAUACUAAUAUAUUACUAUUCAUAUCGUUUUGCAUAGUAGAGUCAGCACAUAUUGUAUGAAAAUAUUCGUAUAUUACUAGUAUGCAUAUAUAUACUAGUAUAUACUAGUAUUAUUUGCUUUAGUCACUUACGCAAUAAUCAUUAGCCUUGGCAGUCGAUUUCAGCAAUUGGUACGUACUCCUAAUAUAUUAGAAAAAAUACGUGGUUGAACUAGGGUGUCGGAGGUGCCCCGGGGCAUACUCUCUAGUGUAGGAUUUUGCACCCUGGCGGUAUGUGAGAGAAUCGUGGAGUGUAUGUGUUGGAACGAAUGUCUUGCUAUUUUUUAAAUAUAGGUUAUAGGCAGGCAGGUAACAUACCUUUUUCUGCGUGACUGUGUAUUUAAUUUUAAGUAGGUAGGAUCGGAUACGAUGCGUUGUAAUUUCCACUCAGGAGUGGAAUGUUCCGUGUCCGGAUAUUAGGCAAAGUUUCAGCAAAUUUUACAAUUAUUACAGCAUCUUUGUUUUUUUUUCUCAUAUUUUGCUGAUACUCUGUAUUACAAGUUAUACCUAUCAGUAUCCAACAGUUUGAAAGCCUUUGCAUUUGUUUAAAAAUUUCUUUCCUUCGAAUUAGCAAAGAUUUUGAACGUGUUGGAUACUUAGUAUUAAGUAUAGUAACACUUCGUAAUCUCUUUUAUGGUUUGUUUCUUGUAAAAAAUAUAUAAUUUUUUAUAGAUGUAGUAGAUGUAGUAAAGUAAAAAUAGUAAAGAUACAAAGUAAACAUGGUACUAUAAAAAGAUGAGAUCAUAGAUUUUGUAGUUUUUUUUCGAUACUUUCUAAUUUUUCAAAUACGAAGUGUUAUUAAUAGGUUCAUCGAUUAGAUUAAAUAUCUGCUUGGGCAUUCGAGUAAAUGUGUUUGUGUAAGCGCGUAUGAUUGGUGGAUUCUUUCGAUUCACUGAUCAUCCACAAGCUAGGAUAGUUCAUAAAAUGUAUAAUAUGCUUUUAUUUUUAAUUUUUUUUUGUUGCAUUUGUUAGGGAAUGCUCUAUAGCAAUUGUUAAGGCUCGAAAAAAAGAGGCUAUAUGCCAAAGAGGCCCUCACGAUUCGUGGCUCAAGAGGGCAACUAUUAGACUAUGGAGUUAUUUUCGAAGGUUUAAGAGAACCUUUCGAGAAUGGCUCUUUGUCAUAUUUAGUUUUACCACAUUGUCAAUGCUCUAUAAUGCUCUUAUAAUGAUAUGUGUAAUGAUGUUGAUUUUAGGAGCUGAGACGAGGUAACUUUCAUUCCAUCUCACAUUGUCAAACGUACGCGAAUAGAAUUAUUAGGUAUUUUAUGCAUUUUUAUUAUUAAGGUCGAGUGACACAUUUUUUGUAUUUUUUUUUUAAGGUUAGAUUAAAAUCAUAAUUUUAUUUUAAUAAGAUCAAGUUUUACAUUAAAGUUGAAACAAUGAUUUCACAAAUUAUUCACUUUUUUUUUAAUUUGUUCUAUUAAGCAAUUUCAUUUCUAUAAAAUUACGUUCUGUAUGAAAAUAAUAUCUGCGAAAUGUGUAAGAUAUAAUAAUUGUGGGAAUCACUGAAAGUGCACUGCAUAAAAGUGCACAUAGAGCUGAAACAAACGCGUUACUGAAGAAGAAUAUUUGUGUAGAUUAAGAUCAAACAUUUUUAAUUUUCAUUUUCUCUUAUAAAUUGAUAUUGUAGUAAAUUCAGAAUUUUAUAUAUAUAUAUAUAUAUAUAUAUAUAUGUAUAUGUUUUAAAAAUCUUGUUUCCAUAUAUACAAGCUUUAUCUCUAUAAGCAUUAAAUUUUAAUCAUUUUAAUUUAAUGCCUAUAGAGAUAAAGCUUGUAUAUAUGGA